GUCUCUCUCAUCAUACAUCAUCCCUCACUUCAUGUAUCUCAUAAUCCUGCGAUACCAGAGCCUAUAAAUUAAAAACAACAGGUGUGCCACGCUGACAUCGCUCACUCUGAAGAGAAACCUCUGAUGUGUAAAGAUGCUGUGGUUUGUGCAGGUGCACUGCUCACCUGCACUUCGUGGCCUGGUCGUUUGGGUCGGACUGGGUAGGACCGACGCCGCUCUUCCUGAACGGCAUCAUGUUGGACAGCCUGAGAGGAGAAACCAUGUAGGUUGUGUUCUUACUAAUUUAAUAAAACUUCAUGUGCAGUGAUUCCAGACUUCUCUUUACGACAGACUCACCUGGACUGCAGACCUGUCCCCGCAGAGGAAGUCUGAUCCUGGUUCUCCAUCAGGCUGCAGAUUCAGAGAGUGAAACAUACAGACAUUCAGAGAUGAUCCAGAGAAGAACACAAGGACUGGUGUGCAGCACCUCCCACAGAGGAUGGAGGGAAGAGGAGGGUGGAGUCAGCUGGCGUGAGCAGACAAAAAACAAGGGAAAGGAAACGUGUCCUGACGUCCAAACGAGUGAGGCUGCUUGAGUUUCUCUCCACAAGAGAUCAGAGCUGUGUCCUCGCUCUGAGAGGCCUCCUCUCUCCUCCAUCCUCAUCUCCUUCAGAUGCAUUUAAUAAAUUGGAGGAUCGUGAAUCAUACACGUCAGUGGAGGAGCAGGGACGCAAGGAUGCAUAAAUUGGGUAUCUCACAACUUUAGGAGCCGCUGUGCGAGAGGAGAGGAUGCAGAAACUCCAGGAGUAGAGUUUUAAAGUUUGAGUUUGGAGCUGAAACAAUCUGAGGACAGAUAAACCAGUUUGACCUCCUGCAUGAAUGAAUGAAGUGUUGUAGUGCGAGGAGGAGGAGGUGGAGGAGGAGUUGUGUUACCUCAGGGUGCAGGCAGCUCGCUUUCAGACGCACGUUUCUGUAAUUACAGCUGGAGGCCGGGGAACAGAUGACAUGUUGUUUCAGGGGGCAGCAGAGUGUGCAGACUCUUCUCUCUCUCAUCGUGAAAAUGAAGACAGGAGUGAGGGGGAGGUGGAGCGUACAGCCUGAAGAAGAGCCUUACCUUUCCUCUUUGGAGGUGGAGCGUGCAGACUAGAGGCCCCUCACCCUACAGCUCGGGAGCCUGAUGCAUGCUGGGAAAAGACAUGGCGGAUAAAUGACACACAGGAGAAAAGAUACUCUUCUAGGAUUUGUGAACGCCUCGUCACAUUUGAAUUACCCUCGGACGGAAGUUAACGAUCCUGUUGAGCUUCACGAUCAGGCACGGCUUCCCCUCCUUGUAGCCAAACUCGCGGUCCUCGAUGCCGGAGCAGGGGCCCAGCGCAGUCUUGGGGAAACGGCACGCCUUCCUGAUGCCGAUGUCGCUCUCCAGGUCGCCGCGGUUCCUGUACUCUGCGGGAUCCU